AGAAAAACAUUUCAAAAUGUCAAUCUUUUCAUGUCCCCUCCUUCACCAGUAUUUGAAAGAAGAAAGCAAGAACAGAGUUUCACCUACCUUCCCAUGGUGGCAUGCAGGCCACUACGGGCUCCUCCAGUGAGUGGAGCAGUGAGCCAGGCUGUCCUCAUGGCCCAUCUCUUCCAGUGGCAGGAGACUGCUGUCUGCUUCUCAGUGGCAUGUCUCCUCACAGGCUGUCAUCUCUGUGGAGAAGAAAGGGGGCCAAUGAUUCAGUUCAUAGCUGACUCAUCUCCAUGCAGCAAGGUCGAGAAAACAAGAAGCAUUUCCUUUAGCAGCCCUAAACUCUGGUGGAAGCAUGUCCCUUGGAUUUGUGAAGGUGAAGAAACUUGGAGGUGAACUCUGUAAUCUACUACGUGUACUCCCUGCACUGUGUAAACAGUGGAUUGGGCACGGAGCCCCUACAGCGGCUGCCAGCUGUGGGAGAGCAACGCAUGGAAAGUCUGAGGAGCAGCUCACAGACUUGAGUGGGAACAAAUCGACCACAGACGGAGUGGCAACAUGAGGGCAGAGUAUCUAAAAAUAGCAUGUGAGGGCACUUAGGAAACCCUGUGAAAGAUACUGGUCAAGGAGGGCAAGAGGAUGGCCUGGCCGUGUGUGGGCAGAGCACCUGGGCAGUAUGUCUCCUCCAAAGAAAGCUCUUUUCUUUACUCAGCCUGCCCUGAGGACUGUGCCCCCCCAACACAGUCAGUGUCUGGGUGCUUAUGUGAGGUAAAAGAGAACAUGUGUCCCAUAGCCACUUCUCCUGGUUCACACUCCUAUGGCCUGUGCCCUGAUGUCACACUGUGCCUCUCUCUUUCCAAGGCCAGUCCUUUGUCCUGUUCUGCGCUGUGUUCGCUUCAGUCUCAGGCAGGCCCUUUCCACAAACGUGCUCCUGGAAGCUCUAGCUCUUCCAGCUAGCAAGCCUCCGCAGGACUAGACCCACUGUUUCCCAGAAUCCCAGCCCAAAUCCCAGACUUCGAUUAGAU